GUGAAUCAUCGAAUCUUUGAACGCAAAUUGCACUCUCUUUGGAGAGUAUGCCUGUUUGAGGGUCAGUAAUAAUAAAAUCGGGGUGUUGCUCUUUUGUGACACAACGGAGUUUGGGCUACCUUGACCUUCGGGUUUUUAGAGGCCUUAAAAUGAACUUUUUUUCGCACUUUUUGACGUACCAUAAUUUAUUUUAUCGUCUAUUCUGGUGCCCAUUUUCUA
rnacentral:misc_RNA from 1 species